CCACAGCACGAGAUCCAAGUCCAGGAACUGGAAAAUUUUCUCAGAAUCAACUAAUCGAAGCUCAAGCAAAUCCAGUAAUGGCGGGUGCUAUCCGACGCGUCUGAUUCGAAUCCGACGGCGGAUAAUCAACGGAAGGAAUCUCCGGCGGAUAUGACUCACCGCUGUACGAUCAUGUCAGUAUCAGCAUCCGCCAUUGUCAGACUCGCGGGGACAAGCAUCAUAACAGCUCCAAUAAGCCGAUCAGGGUCGGUGAUUCGCAUCAGUGGAUGGGUGAGAAUUUAUCUCAACUCUUUGAUUCGCUUCGCUGGCGGAUGAACAAAUGUUUGAUUGGGGCGACCGGAUUUAGGGUUUCUGUUUGAGAACAGAGAGGGUGGUAAUCAGUCUCGCUAACUCUGUUUACAAUGUGUAAAACUCAGCACUCUGUUAACAUAGGAUAUGAAUAUACAUGUUCUAGCAGAGGUAUGCGAAUUGGUCCCCCAUACGUUCAAUGGUUUAUCAACAGCAAGGUAUUCAAAUUGGUUCAGUAUCUUUGCAUACAUUCUAUGUAUUUCGUUUUAAUACAAUUACGUGGUUACUUAUGUUAUGGGUCAUGAUAUGGUGAAGCUAGAAUGUCUUAAACUUUGUUGUCUCUCAUCCGCGAAUGGCUGGAGAGAGGGCCUUUCUUUCUUGGAAUUCAGUACUAGGCAUUUUUUUUCUCUUUAGAAGAGAAUUCAAUGGUAACCUUACGUCUCUUUGAACACCUUGACCUUCUUUUCCUUGUUUGAUUUUUGGAAGGUGGAUACAUGUUGAGUGGUGCCCAGGGUCAUCCUGACAGGGAUUCGUCGAACACAACAAUAUUCGUGGGAGGACUUGACCCAGAUGUCACUAAUGAAGAUCUGUCGCCAAAGAAUGUGGAUUCGUUCAAUCUGUGAACAGAACAAGUGCGGAUGAGGCUUUGGACAAACUAAACGGGCCGGGCGGUGAUUGGAAAACAAAGAGUUCGGCUUUCAUGGGGUCGUAACCCGGCCAAUAAGCAGGCAAUCUUCUCUCUCUCACUCAUACAUGACAUCUAAGAGUAGGUUAAUCUUUCAUCGAGAUGCAGCACGUUCAGCUCAGUUUUCUCAUUACCGGGUUCGUAACCUUGUUAACUCAGUGAACCAAACAGAAAACGAAAACUGUCUAAUGUCAGUACUAGAG